rnacentral:rRNA from 1 species
AUUGAACGCUGGCGGCAUGCCUUACACAUGCAAGUCGAACGGCAGCACGGGAGCAAUCCUGGUGGCGAGUGGCGAACGGGUGAGUAAUGUAUCGGAACGUGCCUAGUUGUGGGGGAUAACGUAGAGAAAUUUACGCUAAUACCGCAUACGAUCUAUGGAUGAAAGCGGGGGAUCGCAAGACCUCGCGCAGUUAGAGCGGCCGAUAUCAGAUUAGGUUGUUGGUGGGGUAAAAGCUCACCAAGCCGAGGCUCUGUAGCUGGUUUGAGAGCACGAACAGCCACACCUGGAAGGGGACCCGGCCCAGACUCCUACGGGAGGCAGCAGUGGGGAAUGUUGGACAAUGGGGGCAACCCUGAUCCAGCGAUGCCGCGUGCAGGAAGAAGGCCUUCGGGUUGUAAACUGCUUUUGUACGGAACGAAACGGUCCUUUCUAAUACAGAGGGCUAAUGACGGUACCUUAAGAAUAAGCACCGGCUAACUACGUGCCAGCCGCCGCAGUAA